rnacentral:ncRNA from 18 species
AUGCUUCGUUCGAAGAUGGGUGCCCCUGACACCAGGGGAUAAUCGGGAAGUAUGGUGAGGCCCCGGCCGAUUCCAUCGCUGCCCCCGCAACGGUAAUGAAGAGCGACCUGCGAAGACCACUGGCAUCCGCCGGGAAGGUGCAGGUCAGGCGUGAGGCUUUGGCACACGCCCCUUCGAGCCCGGAGACCGGCCCGUCGUUUCGUGUCAUCC